UGGAAACACACACAAACUCAUCUAUUUGUCGAUUAAUUCAUAACAUAGACUCAAUGCUUAUAAAUAGGUGUGUCCUGACCUGAUAUUAGCACCGGAUAUCGGUCUGAAAAAACAAAUAUUGGUUCAUGUUGCAUGUAAAAUGUCUGAUAUAACCUUCGAUAAAAGUAGUCGUGCAGGCUGUUUACUUUUGCAAAGCUGGACAGACAGUUAAUAAGCAAACAGUCGGUCUUUUCUCGUAUUUUAGUGAAGUAAUUUAGAAAAGGUAAACAUAGUACACUAUAGGCUAUGAGGACCAAGCAGCUACACAACAGCCAAGCACACAAUAGCUCUCAAGCUAGACACAUAUAAUAAGUGUCUGUAAUUAAACAGUAUUGCAGUCUAAAACAGUACAUUUGUCAACAUAAACCGGUAUCAAAUAAUUAUUGUUGCAUAUAACAAAGUCUCCAAGGAAAAAGCCUAUCUGGUAAGAAAUGUGUCCGCGUCAUUCUCACUACGUCAUGAGUGUAAUGCGCAAUGUGUUGAUUCUGGUGGCGCUUACUGACCUCGAAGCAAUUUUAUGUGGAACACGGUGUAAUAAUAAGUGUGAUAGCACAGGGAGAUGCCUGUUUUUCAAUAAAUGAUGCUAGCAAGUAAGCAAGCAAGAAAAAAACUCUGAUGUUUCAUCGAGAAUAUUGGUAAUUAGACACGCCGUAAAAAAAAAAAAAAAUCGGUCAGAUUGUUUUGGUACGACUUUGGUAAGCUACAAAGCCGCAUCGCUUGUUGGAUUUUUGGAGUAUUACGGCUACCAUAGUCAGACGUACUGUGCUUCACUAUAUGGUAGGGGUGUAACGGUACACAAAAAUGUUGGUUCGGUACGUACUUCGGUUUAGAGGUUACGGUUCGGUUCAUUUUCGGUACAGUAAGAAAACAAACAAAAUAUACAUUUAUUGGUUAUUUAUUUACCAAAUUUGUAAACAAUGGCGUGAUCCUUUUAACAUUGGGAACAUUAUAAUAAUUCUGCCCAUGUUAAUCCACAUUAAACUGCCUCAAGUUGUUGCUUAGAUUAAAUAAAAUAACACAACUUUUCUUCUACAUAUAAAAAGUACAACAUUAAACAGUUUCAAGUAAACUGGUCAUGCUUAAUUUAUUACAGCAUUGGGGAAGCCUGUAGUUGACUUUUUAUUAUGUAAAUGUUAUAUUUGUAUCAACAUAUGAUAGCAGGGACCCUGCCAUUCAAAAUUAGGCUGCUACAUUACUAAUGAUUCAUGUAACUAUGGCUGAAAAAUAGCACAACAGCAAUAGGAGCUCAUGUAGGCUUUAUGAUGCACUUACAAUAUUAUAUACGCUAUCAGAGACAAAAACUCUUCAUUUAACAUAAUGUCCUUUUUGCUGCUUAAACACACCUCAAUCAACACUGUCCGUAACACACGCACGCACGCACACACACACACACACACGCACACACCGCAAAAUGAGCUAACGUUACGCUAAAAGCUAACUAGCCUUCACUUAAAGCCAGGACUGCGAGUGAGCUGAGCUGCAGUUUGUGUCUAGAAGGUCAACGGGCUCAUAGUGAUGUUUAGAAAGUAGUUUACUUGGAAGUGUUUAAUAUAACUUGGGGAGAGUUGGUUGCUCCCCUGCUAGACGCCUAUCUGCUCGACGCUGAAGCGCUGACUAGAUGGGCUCUGAAUACGCACUGCUGAUUGGUUAGUUAUCGCUACUGUUGUAACCAAUCAGAUGGUUGUGUGGGAGGGACAAUGCAGGGUGCUGUACAGGAGACAGAGGCAGAACGGAGCGGAGCAGCUUGUUAAGACUUUAGCAUAGGCGGCUACUUCAUAUGUUCGUGUGGAACUCGUUCGGUACUCCUCCGCACCGUACCGAAAUGGUUCAAUACAAAUACACGUACCGUUACACCCCUACUAUAUGGAUAUUAUUAUGGUGUGUGUAUAAGGACACCUGUUUGGUCAUUUAUGAAACAAUCUUGCCUUCCAUACUUCCUCAAAACAAGCCGUGGGAAGACCGUCACCAGAUUACCCAUAUAUUGUAUGGUAUAAAUGUACCUAACGUGCCUUGCGCGCGUCCGCCAUUGUAGUCGGUGCUGCAGUCAAUAAGACCAUUGCUUAUUCUCUUGUUGUGGGGCAUGGACAUUCAUCCUCCGCUGUGGCAAUUUCUAAGACUAAGUAGCAUACAGUUAAAAUAUAUAUCCGUCAAUACACUUGCUGUGAAAGCGCUAAAACUACAACAAAGAUGAAGGGGAGAAAAACGGCGAUGUGUACGCUAGGAAAACAGUUUCUCUGUGUUCCCUCUUACAAUAACAAUGUUGCUACAGCUUUGUUAUUACACAGGUUACGGAACAUAAAUUAAGUAUUUGAAUGCAUGUUUUAAUGAUUUAGAGGUAGAAUUGAUUGCUCUCAUUUGCUACAAUGCUAGCCACGUAGAACAAGCCAUUUUUUACAUGGUGGACUGCAAAAAAAAAAAAAUGUCUUAUUGUCUUUCAUAUGGAUUGUGAACAAUGGGUAAAAUUUCCCCAAAAAGUGCAUUUCCCUUUUAAGUAGCACUCAGAGUUGCAAUUUGAUAGAAAGCACCUAGAAGUAAGGCUCUACUUUAAAGUGCUCUAGCUCGAUGCUAAUUUACUUCUGUUUUUAUUUCAAUGAUGUACAUACUAACAGAAGUGAGUGAGGUCCUAAGGCAUAAAGCGUAGAACAUAAUACAAGAAACAAAGGUGUUCAUGAGAAAAGUACCUUAUGUUUUGUGAAAAUGUUUGUAUAAACGGACAAAAAAAAUCAAGUAGAUAUUCUAGUAGAAAAGUACAUUACAACAUAGUGAUAAUAAAAAGUGAUAGCCAUAACAUUAGUCCAAUAUUGUUGCUAUAUUAAAGACAGAAGAGAGAGAACAUUUUAAAAAAUCUAAAUAAAAGGUGUGAUAUUGUCUAACGCAAUGUGAGUUUACAUUAGAGAUACCAUAUACAUACUACCGAUUAGCAAUAGCAAUUUUUUACAUAUUUGUGUUUUUAUUAUCAAACUUGGCAAUCAAAACUACGACUAAGACUCAUGUUACACUCAAACAGAUGGUUAAUAGUAAAUACAAUACUUACAGUACAAAUACUUUGUAGGACUUAACAGGAGGAUAACUUAAUGGCAAAGACUGCUUCCUGACUAUGACAACACACUGUAGUCUAUACACUACUGCCAUCUAAUGUCUUUAAAUUGCAACUGCAGGCAAAGUCUACGAUAUAAUACUUGCAGAUGGUCCUCAGAAGUGUAAGAAAACAAUAUAUCUCAGCAGUAAUAUAUUGUUCGUAUAUAAAACAAUAUAUUACAGCAGUGACGCCCCUGCUUAUUUCAGCAAGACAAUGCAAAGCCACAUGUUACAACAGAGUGGCUUUGUAGUAAAAUAGUUUGGGUACAAGACUGGCCUACCGUAGUCCAGACCUCUCUCCCAUUUAAAAUGUGUGGCGCAUUAUGAAGCCUAAAAUACCACAACAGAAACCCCGGAAUGUUGCACAACUUAAGCUGUACAUCAAGCACCUGAAAAGCUUCAAAAAUUGGUCUCCUCAGUUCCCAAACGUUUACAAAGUGUUGUUAAAAGGAAAGGCCAUGUAACACAGUGGUAAAACUGCCCCUGUGCCAACUUUUUUGCAAUGUGUUGCUGCCUUUGAUUUCCAAGUUAAUGAUUGUUUGUAAAUAUAAAAUUACAAUUUUCAGUUCGAACAUUAAAUAUCUUCUCUUCGCAGUCUAUUCCAUCAUAUAUAAGUUGAAAAUGAUUUGCCAAUCAUUGUAUUCUGUUUUCAUUUACGAAUUACAGAACGUGGCAACUUAACUAGUUUGGGGUUUUGUACGACACUGUUAAUUGAAAGUAUGCAUUAUUAUUUGAUCAAGGUCAUAUAGGUUAUUGUGUCAGUGCAAGUGUACCUAAUGCAAUGGUCCACAAGUGUAUAGCAACGUCUCCUUUAGCAAACACAAACACACCCUUUGCCCCCAAAAGGCCCGCUUGUGUACGCAUGCACACACACGUCGGACCGCUAAUGCUAAUCAUAUUAGCUCGCAAUCUUUUAGGGAGGCAUGGGAAAAAUCAAUAGCGGACAGAUAGUGAAGAGGAGGGGUUAAGGUUGGGGGUCUCCUUCAAUUUCAUCAGUCUGCAAGGCCUGUCACCUCACAUUCAGUCCUUGUGUUCAUUCAUGAUAGUGUGUGCAUAUCAAAUACUGUGUGUGUGCGUGUGUGUGUGUGUGUGUGUGUGCGCGCGCGUGUGUGUGUGUUUUUGUGUGUGUGUGCAUAUCAAAUACAGUGUUAGUGUGUGUGUGUGCAUAUCAAAUACAGUGUGUGUGUGUGUGUACAUAUCAAAUACAGUGUUAAGGUGUGUGUGUGCAUAUCAAAUACAGUGUUAAGGUGUGUGUGUGCAUAUCAAAUACAGUGUGUGUGUGUGUGUUUUUGUGUGUGUGUGCAUAUCAAAUACAGUGUGUGUGUGUGUGUGUGUUUGUGUGCAUAUCAAAUACAGUGAUAAGGUGUGUGUGUGCAUAUCAAAUACAGUGUUAAUGUGUGUGUUUGUGCAUAUAAAAUACAGUUUUAAUGUGUGUGUGUGUGUGUGUGCAUAUCAAAUACAGUGUUAAUGUGUGUGUGUGUGCAUAUCAAAUACAGUGUUAAUGUGUCUGUUUGUGCAUAUCAAAUACAGUUUUAAUGUGUGUGUGUGUGUGUGUGUGUGUGUGUGUGCAUAUCAAAUACAGUGUUAAGGUGUGUGUGUGCAUAUCAAAUACAGUGUUAAUGUGUGUGUUUGUGCAUAUCAAAUACAGUUUUAAUGUGUGUGUGUGUGUACGUGUGUGUGCAUAUCAAAUACAGUGUUAUGGUGUGUGUGUGCAUAUCAAAUACAGUGUUAAUGUGUGUGCGUGUCCUUAUCAAAACACAGUGUUAAAGUGUGUGUGUGCAUAUUAAUUACAGUGUUAAUGUUUUUGUUUGUGCAUAUCAAAUACAGUUUUACUGUGUGUGUGCAUAUCAAAUACAGUGUUAAGGUGUGUGUGUGUCCUUAUCAAAACACAGUGUUAAAGUGUGUGUGUGCAUAUAAAUUACAGUGUUAAUGUUUGUGUUUGUGCAUAUCAAAUACAGUUUUAAUGUGUGUGUGUACGUGUGUGCGCAUAUCAAAUACAGUGUUAAGGUGUGUGUGUGCAUAUCAAAUACAGUGUUAAGGUGUGUGUGUGUAUAUCAAAUACAGUGUUAAUGUGUGUGUGUCCUUAUCAAAAUACAGUGUUAAAAUGUGUGUGUGCAUAUCAAAUAGAGUGUGUGUGUGUGAUUUUGUGUGUGUGUUUGCAUAUCAAAUACAGUGUUACUGUGUGUGUGUGCAUAUACAAUACAGUGUUAAUGUGACUGUGUGUGUGUGUGUGUGUGUGUGUGUGUGUGUGUGUGUGUGUGUGUGUGUGUGUGUGUGUGUGUGUGUGUGUGUGUGUGUGUGUGUGUGUGUGUAUGUGUGUGUGUGCAUAUCAAAUACAGUGUUAAUGUGUGUGUGUGUGCGCAUAUCAAAUACAGUGUUCAUGUGUGUGUUUGUGCAUAUCAAAUACAGUUUUAAUGUGUGUGCAUGUGUGUGUGUGCAUACCAAAUACAGUGCUAAUGUGUGUGUGUGCGUGCAUAUCAAAUACAGUGUUAAGGUGUGUGUGUGCAAAUCAAAUAGUGUUAAUGUCUGUGUGUCCCUAUGAAAAUACAGUGUUAAAAUGUGUGUGUGCAUAUCAAAUAGAGUGUGUGUGCGUUUGUCAAAGUGACAUAUGGGGACAUUUUUAUGAAAUUUCACCUUACAUAUGAGGACCUGUUGAAAUAUGAGGACAUUUUCCAUGUCCCCAUAUUUCCCGCAAUGCUAUCGUGUUCUAGACCCUCCCAGCAUGUUCCCAGACCAAAAAUCUCUAAAGUCUUCAUUUGUCAAAUUUUCAGAAAAAGUGUGUGAAAGUGUGUGUAAUUUUUUGGGUCACUUUCGAUUUUGCCCCUAGUGGCCAUCUUUGCUAUUAUGACACACACACACACACACUUGUCCUCAUAUGUCAUAUGUCCUCAUAUGUCGUGUGGGGCAGAAACUCACACACUCCAACAUUUGAAAAACAUAUAAUCAUUACAGCAAUGAACAUACUUUUGAAAUCUAAAUCAAAUAACACAUUUUCAACUGAUCUGAUGAUCUCAACCUUUUUUAUGUUAGUUUUAUCUAUUAAUUUGGUUUAUCUGGAGAGGAUUUGGGCUAGACAAUCAAUAAUAAAGGGAUUAUGGUGAUGAUUUAAUCGGUUUGAUUCAGUAUUUUACUGUAUUGGGCUUUUUUCUAUUCUGUUGUCUAAAAUACAAUGCCGCACAAUAAUUACUUUAAAUGUGCCUGAAAAAAAACCUUCAACCUUGAUUGAGACAAAGGCGAUAAUUCAAAUGGAAUUCAAACUACAUACAGUAUUUAAUAUUUUCAAAUGGUUACAAUAGCACAUGAUUUUGGUAUUUUUAUCUUUGGGACAAAUUUUGGAUUCAAUUGGGGAUUGUUUUUGGAGGUAUUCACUUCACAUUGUAUUCAAGAUGGUUACUUCCGCCCACUGUGAAGAGUCUCGGCGUCUGAUUGGUCCAAUUUUCAGUUAGGCGCCGCCUGAUUGGCCGUUGGAUGAUGUCUGAUCCUAACAGAGGGCUAAAUCACUAGUUAAUUAUUUUCCUCAUGGAAGUUAUACAGCUCACGUAUCACACUUAAUAUUGAAUAUAUAUAAAAAGGGUUUUCCAAAAGGACCAUUUAUAAUCGAAAUACAAAACUUCACACACGAUUUUGAGCACAACAGAGCGCUCAGUGAACAGCACUUCCGGGACCUGCAUCACCGGAGGGGGACAUCUAUCUUGGCCACAAACCAUCUUUGACAGUCUUCGGCAGCAUGGUUGAAUCAGGUGAGCAUAAAAUGGAGUUUAACGUAAUUAAAUAGACCAAUGUUUUUUAACAUAGGAAAAUAGUUCAUUGUAAACAACAGUUAAAUGUUUGUUGUUAUUAAUUGCAAUCAGAUUUGAUUUUAUGAGGUCAAAUUAAGCAUUUCAGUUCUGGGCCAAGGCCAAGGCAUUUAAAUUUUUUUUUUAAAGUUGCAUGGAAGAUUAUAAGUAGCAGUGAUUGUCACACACACACUAGGUGUGGUGAAAUUAUUCUCUGCAUUUGACCCAUCACCCUUGAUCACUAUGCUAGUAAACCUUUUCUUAAUUUUAAACAAGACAGACUAGAGUUCUUCAAAUUGUUUAUACUUUUUCUCAAAUACAAAUAUGUCAAGCUGAUAAGCCCUGUGGAGUAGGCAUGUUACUGAUAUUGUUACAUUAAUUCUUUGUUUGAGAAGCUUCAUGUCUGCACUGAUCCUAAAUUUAACAGUUUUUGAAGGGUUUGGUUCUUUGUUUUAUUUCUGUGUCACUGACUUUUUUCAUUUUUAUGUGUGGAUUUGUUAGGUGCAUCAACACAUGAUAUAGACAUCGUGCCCAAAAGAAGAGCGAGACGUAAUCCUGAGGCUGAAGCCACCGAGUUUAUGUGAUCUGGGUGUGACAAGUCUUGUUUUAAGGCCCAGUGGAUCAAUGAUUGGAAAGACACCAACUGUUGAUGUUCUAUCUCAACAUUCUCCAGAUUCAUGUGAGCGAUAAACCGACUUCAUCCCUCCAACAGACACCAACUGUUGGGGUUCUAUCUCAACAUUCUCCAGAUUCAGAUGUGAGCGAUAAACCGACUUCAUCCCUCCAACAGGUUAUUACAAGUCUAUUUUUACUAUAUCUGCUCUAAAUGUGACCCAACCUAUAUUUUGAAAGACAUUUAUUAAUUUUAAUCUCUCACAGAUCAGUUUAUUUGACAACAUUUUCGUAAGGGUACAUCCAUGUUAGUCAGUAAGGAGUUUGGAACUCAUGUUUAGCAAAACAGGAGAUGUUACAAGUCAACAACAUACAUUCUACAUGUGACCACUCGUCAUGUCCUUAUAUUGUUUGAACCAAGAAAGACUUAGGUGUGUUUCAUAUAAGGUCCUCAUAUUUUCUAAACCAGAUUAGUGUGUGUUACAAUGUUAAUGUCCAAGCUUUAAAAUGAGUGUCUCAAUUCAGGUCCUCAUAUUUUCUGAACCAGAUUUUAGUGUGUUUUAUAUUCUUAAUUAAUUGUCUAAGAGCUGAAACUCUGUAAUAAUCUUUACUAUUUAUCUGGCAUUGUAUGCUCAGAGUUUUAUCAACAAAAAGUGCUGAUAAUGUUAUAAUUAAUUAGUUUUGACAUUAUAUUUUUGUGUUUUGUUGCAGAAACCAACUGUUGAGGUUCCAUCUCAACAUUCUCCAGAUUCAGAUGUGAGCCAUUAACUGACUUCAUCCC